GCGAUGAAUCAUCUGAUUAACCAAGUGAUCGAAGUCAUUAUCUCAUUUGAACUUGCUAGAUGAUCAUCAACAAGAAUCUAGCAGUGGAGGUUUGUGCAGGAUCCCUACACUUAGAUUAACAAUGCAG